GACAGAGGUUGCAAACGUUGUUCGGAAUUACUGGGCAUAAAGCGCACGUAGGCGGUCCGUUAAGUCAUGUGUGAAAUCCCCCGGCUCAACCGGGGAAUUGCGCCUGAUACUGGCGGGCUAGAGGUCGAUAGGGGUGAGCGGAACUCCAGGUGGAGCGGUGAAAUGCGUAGAUAUCUGGAGGAACACCGGUGGCGAAAGCGGCUCACUGGAUCGAAACUGACGCUGAGGAGCGAAAGCGUGGGGAGCGAACAGG
rnacentral:rRNA from 1 species